UCUUUUUUUUUUUUUUUUUUUUUGUUUUUUUUUUUGGGCGUGUGUUGGAGGACCAAUUCCGAAGAAAAGAAAAAGGUGGUCAGGAACUCUCAUUAUUGAUGUAACUUCAAAAUGUAUGGAAAUUGAUUUUAUACUUUUUAUUCCAAUGGAUUGUCCCAAAGCUUAAUUUACACAUAAAGUUAAAUGGCUUCAAAUCACGUAAGAAAUUCAAUUGAUGGACUAAUUUUUUUUGCUAAGAAAUUGAGAAUCUUGUUAGGAUGCAACAUGAUUCAGGUAUGUUUGGUAAUUCUUUUCAAAAAUAGUUUUUCAUUUUUCAUAACAAAAAAUUGGAAAACAAGUUCGAUAAUUAGAAAAUAGAACAAUGUUUUAAGAAAAUAAAGUAUUUUCAGAAAUUAUUUUAAAAAUAGUUAUAAAAUAUAAAAAUAUGAUUAAAGAAUAAAGUGCGCAAUAUAAAUAAAAUUUAUUUUCAAAACAUAUUUAAAAAUAUAGAAAAUAAAUUAAGAAUAUUUUAGAUUUUCAAAUAAACUUUUAUUUUAUAAAAGAUUAGAAAACAACUUUUGAAAACGGUUUUUCAAAAAACCAAAUUGUAAGUCAAGAGAUUAAGUCAAAAUGAUGCAUCAAAGGUCAUACCUAACUUCAAACUAUGAUUUUCUUAAGAACCCUUUAAUGUUAAGUGUUGUACCAAAGUCAAAUUAAAUUUAACUUAAAUCAAUAAGUAUUAAGUUUUACCAAACACCCUUUAAUGUUAUAACUUAAAGAUAAAAAUAAUUAACUUAUUUUAAAUAAUCGAUUUCCUUUUGUCCAUAUACACAUCUAAUGAGAAUAUCUUUUAUGUCAAUGGCUCCACCACAUGAUUCAUAUAACUUUUUAACUAAAUAUAUUGUAGUUAUUUUAUGAUUCUACAAGACAUUUAAUAUGAAUGUUUAGCUAAUAAAUUUAUUAUUUAACAAUAAUGAAAGUAAAUAUUAAUGUAAAUUAACAAAGGUAAAUAUUAAUUGAAAUUAAUAAGAAUAAUGCGUUAAUCUGAUGAUUCAAUAAAAAUGUUAACUUUAUUGGAUGACUUUAAUACUUAAAGUAUAAAUUAAAUAAUAAAUCUUAAGUUAACAAUUUUAAAAUAAUUUAACUUAAAAUAUUAAGUUCUAUCAAACAUUUUAUAAACCAAUAAUAUUUGGACAAUUUUAUGCAUAUAUGAAUAGGAUAACAACUUGAGUCGGUCCAAUUUGCACCCCACGUAGGGUUCGAGUUGAAGGAUAAACUUUGAAUAAGUCAAGGUUUGACUUGGGUUGGAAAAAUAUCAAUUUAAAAAUAUUAGGGUAGGUGUGGGUUCAAGAUUCAAGCAAUCUACCAAAACCCGAACCCGCACAUAAUUAUUAAUUAUAAAUUGAAGCAAUUGGAAAGUUAUAUAUACCUUGCCAUAAAAAUUUCUUAAAAUUGCAGAGACACUUGAGUUCCCAGAGAUCACAAUUUGAUAAUAUAUUGAGUUUUCAUCUAGUAAGAAGAUUCAGGGGUAGAUUGACCCAGAUGCAUGGAGAUGGAACGUUUGCAUGGUCACAAGCCAAGAGACGAUUAACAGUAGUACCUGUAAUUCCAAAUGAUGAUUUUUUCUCUAGAAAUAGGUACAUGAGCACAUACCAUAUGUCUCAUAUACCACCUCAAUGUUGAUCAAAACUCACUUGAUUAAAAAUAAAUAAAUAAAUAAUCAAAGAAGAAAUUAAAAUCCAUCUAUGACUCCAUGUAUUUAAGCAAAGUCAGAAGAGACCAAAUUUUAAGUCGAAAAGGAAGUCAGGAAGACAAAUUAUUACAGAAGUCAAAUUUCAAACCAUAUUUUUGUGUGAUAACAGCGGCCACCUAUGACUCCAUGUAUCUUUAAUCGAGCUAUGUUGGGAAACUUUAGAAUUGGGUUUGAAUCCAUUUUUAAGUCUUCUAUGCAUUCGACCCUCACUCUCCGUUUUCUUCCUCUCUUUUUUGGAUCACAUGCUGAGAAUGAAAUUACCUUUGAAACGUUCCAUUGAUUUUUGGAAGUCAAAUAAAUAAGAGAGCAUAGUCAAUGAAGGAAAAAAAAUAUUUUUAGACGUUCAAAAGAUCAAUGAUCAUCAGAAAAGAAACAAGCAAAAAUUUGUUCAUCAUUCAAUUAAUUUUCUUCUUUUUAUUUUUGUAUCUUGAAGUGUACAAACUUCACAUGGUUACAGCACACAUCAAGAGCCAAAGUAAUACACAGAAAUGCAUAGAACUCGUCCAUGUUAUUCGUUGAACACAAACUUCAUCAAAAGAUGAAAAAUAGAAUACAGAUACUAAAGUUCAAAUGACCUGCAAAUCAGUUUAUUCAGAUGAAAACCACGACAAGAAACUACGUAUACUUGGAGCUGAUUGCUUGUAAAAAUGUCACUUGUGCAUGGUAGCCUUGACAGCCGGAGUGGUGGCAUGUGCUCUUGCAGGAGAUGCAGGUGGAUGUUUGCAAGGAGGGCCUUCAACGGGGGUUUUCCCACAUGAAUUUGUGCCAGAAGGAGGGACAGGACCCCUUUGCUGAACCCUAGCAGCAUUGUGUGGCUGGACACUCAGAAGAAAAACAAGGGCUAUGACAGUAAAAACAACGUUGAGAAACCUCAUGAUAGUCUUGGUGGUGAGGCAAACAGGACAGGAGAUGAAAUAAAAAUAAAUUGGAUAUGUAGAUGAUAUGGCUAUGAAGAGGAGAUGGUGUUAAUUGCUAUUUAUAAGCAUGGAUAUCCAAUGUAAUCACUGAAUUUUUAAUUGUUUGAUUUGUUUGAAGGGUUUGGAUUCUUGACUAUUAGGUUUUGGCACGAGAUGACUGGAAAUUGAAUGGUCAUAAAGGAGAAACUGCCCUUGAAUUACCUGAAUGCAUGGCAAAGUUUAAUUUCUCAUUUCAUUCUUACAUUCACACCAAGGGUUUACUUGAAUUGAUGAUGCUUGAAACUUUGGAGUUUGGCCACAGUUCUGGAUGUUAAACUACUUGUUCUCACAACACAUACUCCUUGUUACGACGGCGGAAGCUUUCAUGUAAACAUCGUUAAUCAAGAACACAAAGAUAAAAUAAUUAACACAAACGAUACACAAGAUUUUAACGUGGUUCGGCCAACCAUGCCCAUGUCUACAAAUGAAAGAGAAUUAUUUCACUAUACAAUAAAGAACAUACAGAGGACAUAACCAGAUACAAUUAUUGGGUGCCCAAAACAUCCCAUGUUUCUCCACUCUUCAUAUCCCUACCCUAUCACGAGUCUUCAUGCUCCACCGAGUACCUCUCAUUCUUCCUCACACCUCUAUUCACCUCAUAUGGUCUUUACAGGCCCAUCUUCAUCUCAUAACUUUUUUCUCCUCGUGACUUAGAAUAUUUAUAGAGAUAUUUCCAACAACGUUCCUUAUUCUAUAAGGAAGUCUAAUAUUAUAAUAAUAUAUCAAUCCAAAAAUAUUCAAUAUAAUAUUUUUUACAAAAAAGGAAUCUAUACUAAUUAGAAAUUUGGGACACUUCUUAACAAUCUCCACCUUAGACCAAAUUCCAUGAAGUCAAUCUUCAAACUCUCCAUGACACAAACUUUUUUGUAUUAUAUCACUAUGAGAGAGCAAUCGACUCUACUUUCACUAAAAAUUCCUUUUGCCUUCAUCUUGUGUGCUCCGUGAUUUUUUAAUCUUCCAUAAAUCGUCAACCCAAUAUCUUAUACCAAUUUGUUAUGACAACGGAAGCUUUCAUGCAAACAGCGUUAAUCAAGAACACAAACAUAAAACAAUAACACAUACGAUACACGAGUUUUUUAUAUAGUUCAACCAACCAUGCAUACGUCAACGGAUGAGAGAGAAUCAUUCCACUAUACAAUAAAGAACAUUACUGAUAACAGAACCAGAACAUUACAGAGGACAUAACCAGAUACAAUUAUUGGCUUCUCGAAACAUCCCAUGUUUCUACUCUUCGUAUCCAUACCUUAUCAUGAGCCUUCUCACUCCAUCGGGCAACUCUUAUUCUUCCUCAUAUUUUUAUUCACCUCGUAUAGUCUUUAUAGGCCCAUCUCCAUCUCAUAACUUUUUCUCCUCAUGACUUAUAAUAUUUAUAGAGAUAUUUCCAACAACCUUUCUUAUUCUAUAAGGAAGUCUAAUAUUACAAUAAUAUAUCAACCUAAAAAUAUUCUAUAUAAUAUUCUCUACAAAAAAAGAAUAUAUACUAAUUAGGAAUUUGGGACACUUCCUAGCACUCCUAAUAAGAAUUGAUCAAUUCUAUGGACAUGAUUCCACUCAGAUGCACCAGCUUUAAUUUCCAUCAUCAAGACCUAAGACACAAUGCUUGCCCUUUCAAAAUGGGCCAUCAUCUGGGGGUGUAUCUGCAUAUACAUUCCAUUUGCACACCAUCACAAAGCUUGUUUAUGAUUUUGUUUUCUUUUGUUCAAAUCUCUUGAGAAAAUGCAAGAAAAAUGUAUAUAAAACAUUUCUCCCUUUUUCCCCCAAAGGCACACGAUACAAGAGAUAAUUAGAUUGGUUGGAUGAUGGGUUUUGAUCAAUAUAUGUAUUGACCAAGGGUGAAACUCAUAACACAUCAAACUAGGUCUACUAACAUGCAUGCUAAAUUAUCAAUAAAGUUCAAAAUAUUAAGUUGUAAUAAAUUUAUGCACCAAUGAUGAGUAUCAAGAAGCAUGAUCUAUACUCAAUUCCUAAACUCAUUAUUUUCAACAUACACGUGAAUUGAAAUUUUUUAUUUUAUUUUAUUAUUAUUUUUUUAUAAAAAAAAAGAGAAGAAAAAACAUUCUAGCUAAAAGCUAAUCAUACAACACAAACAAUGCAAUAAGUGAGCAUUAAUUUGGCUCACGUUGUCAUGUUAUACACACACAAAUACCCAUGUUACAAGAUGAUAAGUUUGGCAUUACUAUUCAAAUAUUCCAAGUUUGAUAUAGCAAACGCCGGGUAGAUUUUGUUUGACUUGGAUCAACAAUACUCAUUUCUUGACUUUUCUUUGAGGACAAAUCAUAGUAACUAGCUUUUUUAAUCUAAACCUCUAAAAAUGAGUAUGAUUCAUAUAGAUUAGCAUGUCUAUUCCACUUGCAUCAGCAAAUAUCUGGUUUAUGAACAUUUGGAGAUGUUAAAAUGUAUAGUAUCUGUUGUGCCAGUGGAAGCUUUAGACAAAUAAUGUUAGUUCAAGAACAUAAAAAUAAAACGAUCCUCAAAAGAUUACAUGAGAUUUUAACAGGAUUUGAAUAAUCAUGCAUCGAUCCUUAGCCCCAUGACAUUAAAACUAUCACAUCCUUAUAAGGUUGAAAGAUUUGGCUUAAUAUGGGACUCUCAACAGCCCAAUUGCUUCGAUUUCUUCUUCCCAUAUAUCCCUAAAAUAUAGAAUGAAAAUAUAGAAAAAAAUAUAUAUGCAAAGACAACAAAAUCUGUUCAACCCAAAAGAAAAAAGAAAAAAAAAAAGACCUGCACGCUUUAAAAUUUGAUUCACAAAUUUGAAAAGUUGAAUUACAGGGCAAAUCCAUUCUAUGAUAAUAUAUUCUACUUUCUAAUAAAAUUAAAUCACUAAUUAAUAGACUGUUGAGUUUCAGCCGUGCAAAAGAUGAUGAAGCAAAAAUUUGUUCAUGAUUCAACUUUCUUCUUUUUAUUUAUAUAUCAUGAAGUGUACAAACUUCACAUUGUUACAACACACAUCAAGAGCGAAAUUAAUACACAGAAUGCAUAGAACUCGUCUACGUUAUUCAUUUAACAUAAACCUCAUCAAAAGAUGAAAACAGAAUACAGAUACUAUAUCUAAAAUGACCUGUAAAAUCAGUUUAUUCAGAUGACAAACACGACAAGUAUACUUGGAUCGGAUGGCCUGUAAAAAUGUCACUUGUGCAUGGUAGCCUUGACAGCCGGAGCGGUGGCAUGUACUCUUGCAGGAGAUGCAGGUGGGUGUUUGCAAGGAGGGCCUCCAACGGGGGCUUUCUCACAUGGAUUUGGGGUAGAAGGAGUGACCCGUCCCAUCUGCUGAGGACUUUCUGAAAGACCACGUCUUUUCUCUAUCAAGUACUCACGGUUCAUUCCUUCAAGAACCCUAGUAGCAUUGUGUGGUUGAACACUCAGAAGAAAUGCAAGUGCUAUGACACUAAAAACAACGUUGAGAAACCUCAUGAUAGUCUUGGUGGUGAUGGUGUUAUUCGUUAUUUAUAUGCAUGCAUAUCCAAUGGUAUCACUUGGACUUUUCGUUAUUUGAUUUGUUUGAAGGGUUCGAUUCUUGACUAUAAGGUUUUGCCACUAGGUGACUAGAAAUUGAAUGGUCAUAAAGGAGAAACUGUCUUUGAAUUACCUGAAUGGCAAAGUUUAAUUUCUAAUUUCAUUUUACAUUCACACCAAGGGACGACAGUUGUUUAAUGGAGGCUUGCGUUUUGAGAUUACUGUACUGCAGUGGCCUAUCUGCGGAUCGUGGUUUGUACAGUACUGUGUUUUUUUAUUAUACCAUAAUUUCUUCCUAUCUGGAACAAAGUAUAAAGUUUUGAUAGGGACGUGUUUACUUGAAUUGAGGCUUGAAAUUUUGGGAUGUUAAGCUGCUUUUUCUCGUAACAUAAACUGCUAAUUAAGAAUUGAUCAGCUCUUUGCAGAUGAUUCCAUUCACAUGCACCGACCUUUCCACUAUCGUCAAAACCUAAGACACAGUUGGUUGAUUCUCAAAGUGUCCAACCCAAAAACAUAUUUAGGUAGGGUAUAUAUAGGCCUAAUACCCUAGAGAGUUAGAAACAAAAUUUUCUUAAAAAGUAAAAUAUCAACUUUCCAAAAUUAAUUAAUAAAAGAAUUUUAUUUUAUUUUAAAUAAAAUAAUCAACUUUCUAAAAAUUAAUUAAAAAAUAAAAUAUCAACUUCUCAAAAAUGUAUUAAGAAAAGAAUUUCUUAAAAAAAAAAUAUCAACCUUCUAAAAAUUAAUUAAAAAUAAAAUCUCAAAGUUGUCAAAAAUUAAUAAAGACAUUUUAACUCAAUUUUAAAACUUCCAAAAAAAUUAAUUUGCCUUCAACAAAAUAUUUCAGACUUAUUUGUGACUACCUGGUUGAACACACAACCACCUUGACUCUUCAAUAGAAAAAAAGUUAUUAUCUAAAAAUAUUUCUAAGCCAAAAUAAAAAGGAAUAAAAUUGUCAACACAUAAAAAUAUCAUAACACCGUGAGAAACAAAAAUGAUGAAAAAGGAAAAAACAUAUUUAUUAGGUAUGCAACAAUGCUUCUGAUUUUGGGAUGAGUAUGGAAGAUAGGAGAUUGUUAGACACUACUAUAAGUGUUUAGGAUGAAUAUGAAUGAAUGACAUCAAGCCACAUAAAGAGAAUUAACUUAAUCUCAUUGAUAGUUAAUUGGUUUUAAGAUGAUAUGGUUAAGUUUUUUAUUCUAACAAGUGGUAUUGGAGCUAUGUUUGUUCAACCCAAAAGAAAAAAAAGGGACAUGCAUGCUAUAAAAUUUGAUUGAAAAACCUAAUACUAGUCAUCUUCAAAAUGUCUUAGCAGUGAGAUGGUCAGGAUUUUGAUUGAAAAAUCUACUAUUCCUAGUGUCCAAGAUGCCUGUCUUAUCAGGGCAAAUCCACUCUAUGUUUAUAUAUAUGUUAUACGUCCAUGUUAUUCGUUGAACACAAACUUCAUCAAAAGAUAAAAAAUAAAAUGUCACUUGUGCAUGGUAACCAUGACAGCCGGAGCGGUGGCAUGUGCUUUUGCAGGAGAUGGAGGCGGGUUUUUGCAAGACGGGCCUCCAACGGGGAUUUUCUCACAUGAAUUCGGGGCAGGAGGGACAGGACCCAUAUGUUGAGGAGUUUCUAAUAGACUAGGUCUGUUUUUGCUUGAAUUAAGGCUUGAAAUUUUGGGGUUUGGUCACAGUUCUGGAUGUUUUAAGCUGCUUUUUCGCCUAACAUAUAUUCCUAAUUAAGAAUUGAUACUCUUUGUAGAUGAUUCCACUCAAAUGCACCAACCUUUCCUUUAUCGUCAAGACCUGAGACACAAGGCAUGUCAUUUCAAACUGGGGCAUCAUCUGGGUGCGUAUAAGCAUAUUACAUACCAUUUCCACAUCACCACAAAGCUUGUUUAUAAUCUUGUUUUCUUCUGUUCAAAUCUCUUGAGAAAAUGCAAGAAAAAUGCAUAUAAAACUUUUCUCCCUUUUUCCCUGAAGGCACACGAUACAAGUGUUAAUUGGGUUGGUUAGGUGAUGUCUUUUCAGUAUAUGUAUAUACCUUAACCUAGGGUGAAUUCAUAACAAGUAAAACUAGGUCUACUAAUUAAUACAUGCAUGUUAAAUUAUCAAUACAAUUCAAAAUAUUAAAUUGUUAAUUUAUGCACCAAUGAUGAAAUGAGCACUGGUGUUGAGGAAAGGAUUUAUUUAUGGACUAGGAAAAACUGUAAGGUAACUGAUUUGCUUGAUCUUAAUACAUAUCCUGAGGAUGGGUUUUUAUUAGGUAAAGACAGUGAACCCAGAACCAGCCCAUGCACAUACAUCCCUGGACAGAGAAGAGGCAGGUGCACCUUGAAUGAAAUGAACGUAGCUGGCCGUGUUAGGUUUGUGCCGCCUGCAUUUUCCCAAUUUUGUGAUAGAUGUUGCUGUAGCUUCCGCUACUAAGGAUGGCCAUGCUCAAGAUCGAAGCUCGUAGGCUUGUUUUUGGAGUUGGGUUUUGUGCAUCUCAAUGGUAGCUGGCAAGCUUUAUUCCUUACCUCUCUUGUGUAUCUAUCUAUCUCUCUCUUUUUUUUUUUUGGAGUUGACAUAAAUGCAAACUAUUUUGGAAAACCAUUUUUCAGAAUUAUUUUUGAAAACACUUCUUAAAGAAAGCCUUACUCUUACAAAUUUUUAUUUUGACAUGAAUGUAAAAUUUUCUAUUAGGAAUAAACAUAUAUCAAAGCUUUAAUUUUGUGCAACCAAAUUUGACUAAUUCUCUUCCUGCAUGUGGCUAUCACUUUCCAAUUCGUUGAGAUAAAACCAGCCAGGGUUGUUAAGAGUUUUUCAAAUUUUAAAAUUAUUAUAAAUUAAUUGAAAAUAACUUCAAAUGUUAUAGACUUUUUUAUUUAUUAAUUUGUUGAACUCAUCUAAUUAUUAAAUUUUUCAUUAUUUUUUCAGAAUUUUUUUAACUUUUUUAUUCUCAACUAUUAUAUUGUCUACAUAUUUUUUAAUUAAGAUAAUGUGCAUGCCAUCCUAAAUGCUUAAUGAAGCACGCAUCAAAGUCUCAAAAGGCCAAAAUUGAUAAAUCAAACUAACAAGUGUUGGGCAUUCAACAAACCAAAGAGAUCCCAAGAGCUACUAAGAACAAUGACAGGUCAUCAAAGCAAAAUAUUAAGUAUAAUUCAUCUUCUUAGCAAAAGAAAAUUAUUGUUAAAAAAAUGCUAAGGUAUUGCAUUAAUACUUAUCGAAGUUCACAUUUGGACCAUUGAAUAUGUAUGAUGAAAUUUAAACUGCUAAAUCAAGGAACAAGUAAAUGAGACUUAACUAUAAGGGUGCAAACAAAUAAGACUAUAUUACAAAAAAUGAGACUUAUAUAUGUAUAUAUGACUAUGCCUAAUUCAUGGUGCCUUUUUUAUAUCUAACAAAAAGUAUCAUUUUGUCCUAUCGAUGAUCCUUACUAUAAAAGUUUAUUUGACUAUCAUAAGAGUGUUUAGUACCUCAUCCACAAAUUCUUUGUAGUCCAUUGAAUGAUGGUACAAGUAAAUGAGACCAAAGGAUAAAGAUACAAACAAAUGAAACUAUGUUACAAAUAAUGAGACUUGUGUAUAUAUGACACCACCUGAUUAGUGAUACUUUUUUAAUUUACCGAAUGAAGUAUCAUUCCAUAUUCUCAAUGACCUUUACUAUAAAAGUUGGUUUGACCAUCAUAUCAGAGAAUUCAAUACCUCAUCCACAAACCCUUUGUAGCCUAUACAGUGAGAGCAUGUAUUUACACCUUGAACUACGAGCCCUCUCGUUCCACUGAGUGUCUCCCAUUCUUUCUCUCAUCCUUAUCCAUCAUGUAUAAUCUUUACAAGCCCAUGUCCAUCUAUAACUUUUUCCCCUUAUAACCUAGAAUAUUUAUAGAGAUAUUAUUUUCCUUAUUCUAUUAGGAAAUCCAAUAUUACAAUAAAAAAUUAAUUUAGGAAAUAUUCUAUAUAAUGUUCUAUACAAAAAGGAAUCUAUACUAAUUAAAAAUUUGAAACACUUUUUAACAAUCUCUGUCUUGGCUCAAAUUCCAUGAAAUCAAUCUUCCAUCUUUCCAUGACACACUUUUUGUAUCAUAUUCGAUGAAAUAACAAUCGACUUUACCUUCAAUUAAAAUUCCUUGUCAUACUCUUGUGUGUUUUGUUAUCUUUUACUCUUCUAGAAAUCUUCAUUGUGAGCUCUAGCUAAUUCCAAUUUGUUGUGUCAGCGAAAGCUCUAAUGCAAACAAUGUUAGUUCAAAAACACAAAGAUAAACAAUCCACACAAAGAUACACAGGGUUUUAAUGUGGUUCGACCAACCACACCCAAUUCAUGGAUGAGAGAAAAGUAUUACACUACAUUAUAGAGAAUAUUACAGAAAAUGUAAACAGAUGCACUAUUGGUUUCACGAAACAUCUCGUGUUUCCCCACUUCUUAUAUAAAACCUUGAACCAUAGGCUCCUCGUUCCUCCGAAUGUUUUUCAUUCUUCCUCACAUCUCUAUCCACCUCAUAUAGUCUUUACGAGUUUAUCUCCAUUUCAUAACCUUUUCUUCUCAUGACCUAUAAUAUAUAUAUAGAGAUAUUCUUAAUAACUUUUCUUAUUCUAUAAGAAAAUCUAAUAUUAUAAUAAGAAGUCAAUUUUAAAAAUAUUAUAUAUAAUAAUCUUUACAAAAAGGAAUCUAUAUUAGGAAUUUGGGAUACUUUCCAACAAAAAUAAUUUGAGGACACAAUAAACAAAAAAACUAGUCUAGUAGUUGCCAUUUGCAUCCCCUUCUAGUGGGAUCUAGUCAUGUUAGCCAUGUAAGAUGGGAUGGAACAAGCCACAAAGGUGGGCAUAGGUGGGCCCAUACCCAAGGAAAAAGAUAGGUUUUCAACUAAAAAGACCAGUAUGAUUCCUAAAAAACUUACCGGUCCACCAGUUUAGACAAUUCAAUCGACGGUUCAUGUGAGUUUGCCCUAAUUCAAUGCCUAGAACAAUCUGCUUUUAAAAAUCAUGCCUUUAAGAUAAAUUUUGAUAUUCCCAAAAAUGGGAUAACCAAGAGACUUAUAUUUAUUGUAAAUCUGGGUUGGUCUAGGCCUCACAGUUGUAUCAAAAAAUGAGACGACCCACAACUCUAUUGGGUUGAAUGAAUGAAUUGCGUAUCUUUAAAGCCAAUAGACAAUAAAUUUUUCAUGCAUUUCAUGGUUACAAAUUAUAUAUGUCACAAUUGAUGAUAUUUAUCCUUAAAUUAUAUUGUAUAAAAAUCAUCUUGAUAAUAGAGAUUAUAAACAAUGAGAUAUGAUUUCUAAUUUCUUUAUAAUCUUAAAAUAUGUUUACAACUUAUAAGCUUGUAAUGGAUAACAUGCUUAUUAAAAGUUGUCAUGAAUUGUACUACUAUAUAUGAUAGAGUGAUGGAUCUUAUUCACUAAAGUUGAGGGGCUCUUAAUAAAUUUCAUGGGUGAUGAUUAUAUGUGAUAAUCACAAAACUGUACCAUUACAAGACAAUUUUUGGACCUCUUAUUAUUUAUUUUGUUUAAUAUUACAUAAAAUCCUUAGACUUAAGGAUGUUACUAAGUUUUGUACUUGAUUUUGUAUAGCUUUGAUAUUAUCAACUGUUGAUGUCUAACAAUGGAUUAUAUACGGAACUGUUGGGUUUUAUAAAUAAUAUAUAAAAACUAGUGGAUAUUUGAUAAAGGACCCAUUGCUUCUAUAGUAGGAAAGAAUAUUUAAGAUUGUGUCACUUAUAAAUUGUUUUAAAAUACCGACCGGUCAAUUUAGAAAUAAUUUUUUUUUUAAGUGUAUAUAUCUAUUUAGUAUGUCAUAUAUUAAGAUUUUCUAAAUUGGUUUUUCUAAAAGGUCCAAUUAUAAGAGGUUACACAGUUAUAAGUUUAGGGAAUGACAGUUAUCUUGAUCCGACUUCAAAACUUGUAAGGAAUAUUAGUUAGUGGAAGAAUUAAUGUGUGAGUAGGGAACUUAACAAUCUAUCUCUCUUUUUUUUUGGGUGAAAUUGUAAUUCGUUUUAAAUAUGAUUGUAAUUGACAAAUUCAUUUGGAAUAAACUUACUAGAGAUGUAGAGAUCCCACGAAGGUCUCAUGCUACAUGUCCUCACCUCAGAUUAUUGAGAAGAAACAAUUAACUUAUUGAUCAUGCAAGGGGGGCCUUUGCCGGGAAUUCGGGUGCAUGGACUUGGGGCAGAAGGAGAAACUGGACCCACCUGCAGAGACUGCAAGACAAUAUUAAUUCUUUUCUUCUUCCACUCUUUUUUCUCUCCAUUAGGAACCCUACUAGCAUGGUGUGGUUGGACACUCAGAAGAAAAACAACUGCAGUGACAGCUAAAAGAAUUGUGAGAGACCUCAUGAUCUUGGUGGGGUUUAAGCUAAGAUACUAGGAGAUGGAAUCAAUAUGAUAUCUGGGAUGAUAUGCAUAUGUGGAGGAGAUCAUAUUAAUUGCUAUUUAUAAGCAUGGAUACCCAAUGUUAUAACUUUGAUUUUCCAUUGUUUCAUUUGUUUGAAAGGGUUUUUUUAGCUCUUGAAUACAAGGGUUUUGCCACGGCAUAGACUAGAAAUUGAGAAGGUCAUAAAGAAACUAGGUUUGAAUUACAUACAAUGACAAAAUUUUCAUAGGUCAUUAAUUGUAAGCAUCCGCCACCCCAAAAAUAAAUAAAUUAAAAAAUCUACUGUUAUUAAAUACAAUGAUAAUUAUAAUUUUUGUAAAAAUAAUAAUAAUAAUAAUAAUCAAUUAAAUAAAAAAUAUCUACUUCCCACUUUAUCUCUGUGAAUUGUUGCUUCUUCAAGAUACAGUGGAUAAUAUUGAAAUAUUUAAAAGCAUGACUUCAAUAAUUUAGCUUAUUAAUUAACCUGUAACAUCAUGCUUUUGCAUGAUGUUGCCCCACCGAAUAAAGUAGCAGCAUGACGGCCACCAAAAUCAUUUCCUAACAAAUAUUUUCCAAAUUAAGUUAGAAUUGGUCUCAUGCAAACUGUCGCAUUUAAAAAGUUUCACGGUUUGUAUACCACUUUUCUGACUGACGACUAGUGGAUUACUUCCUUUCUUGUACUGUUUACUUCCUUUGUGGGGCACUAAGUUUGAUCAAAGAAUAGGUUUAUGGUGGGAACGGAUUUUUUUAGUGAAUUGGGGCUUGAAUGUUUGUUGGUUUGGUCGUGAUGCUCACAGCCUUUACGUGACAUCCUCCUCAAUAAUCAAAUGUUUGAAUAUGACUGAUGACUCUACUCACAUGCAUCAGAUUUUUUAUGCAUUGUCACGAGCCAAGAGCAGAGGCCCUUUCCAAAUUGCCAAAUUGUGUAUUUGUGUGUAUGCUUGUUAUGAAGGCCCAGCGUCUACAUUUAUGAAUAUAUAUAUAUAUAUACUUUCCAUAUACCAUUUUUGCAGCACCCCAAAGCUGCUUAUUCUUCACAUCUUCCCCGCUCUCUAUUCAUAUAAAACGAUCCAUUCAUUUCUUUUCGAAGAUGGGUUUCACUUCUAGGAAAUUAGUCCUCUCGGUGGUGCUUUUCAAUUUCACGCUUCUCUCAGCUUGGAGUUUCCGAGAACUUGAAGCAAUGCGGCUACUAGGAGGAAGGCAAUGGGCGAAGAGAAACAGUCUUGUGCUUCAGUCUCUGCAGAAAGGUCCAGUGCUGCCAUCCGGCCCCAGUCCUUGUACUCACAUCCCAGAACAAAGGGCAGGGCGAUGCACCUUGAAUGAAAAGAAUAUAGCUGACGACAUUGCAACUGCACCUCCAGCCUUUUCCGCGUACAUGCUGGCAGAGGAUGCUGCCAUGGCUUCCCUUGCUAAGGAUGGCCAUGACCAAGAUCACAGCUCUUAAUGAUGUAAUCAUAUUUGUGCAUGGAUCAGCUGAUGAGUUAGAUGUGGAAGAUAGAUCCCAAUCCUUAUGAUUAGUAUAUAUGUUUUAUCUCUAACCUUAAUUCAUUUCAUAUACUUGGUUUAGAAAGAAUAACCAGUUCAACUGGUUAGAUAAGAUGCCAUGUAAACUGAGGUUAGUGCUUGAUAAUGUAAUCAUAUUUUGUAUUGAAAAUAUUGAUCUUUAUUUCCGUCCUAAAAACCAUGACAGGAGAAAAAAAAACACCAAAAACAUGAAAACAAGAGGAGGAUCAAUAAAUUUUGAUCAACCUUAUUUACCAGAAACAGACGAGCUAGUUAAAUAAAUAAAUAUAUUCGCAAUUUUAAAUGUUGGAAGUAACCCAAAUUGCCUGUGCGAAGGUAUAUGAAUUCGUACACAUAAUCAGGUGCCACGAAGUUGGAUGAAACGCUUGAGUGGGAUUUCCUAUUCCAUGCAUGCCCCAUGCAUGAAUGCAAAACUAAGAAACAUGAUGAAGAUGGUAAAUCAGCUACCAAAGAUAUGUAUGCCCAUAUGAUUUCCAUCUUAUUCAUUUUUUCUCAUUUAUCUUUGUAGAUAGCGUAAAAAACUUCAGAAGGGUACCACAAGUAAAUAGUGAUAAUGAUGGUUUCUUUCUUGUUCUAACAAACACAAACUUUAUCACAAGAAUGAAAAAAUACAGGACCUGCAAAUCAGCUCACUCCUAUGGUCUCACUAGAAUUAAUUAGAAGUAUAUUUUGGUGGACAAAUUAAUAUGUUUAAUGGAAAAGAACCAAUAUCUCGGUUAUUUAUAGGGUUAUUCGAUUAAAAGGGUUUUUGAUAAAAAUACUCUUAUUAUUUUCUUGUAAAAAUAACUUUCUUUUAAAACAGGUUACUUUAAAUACUUGAAAUGGUAGAAGGCAUUUAUGUAAAAAUAAUAAUAAUAAUAAUAAGUUACUUUAAAAAAAAAAAAAACAUGGGAAUGGUUAAAUUCACAAUUUAAAAAUUAAUUCAAUGCUUAAUUGAACAAGUGGCUCUAAACGCCUAAGUGAAAAAAUGGCUCUAAAUGGCUAAGUGAGAAAGUGGCUCUGAACGCAUAACUGAGAAUGUGCCUCUAAACACCUAAUUGAAAAAGUGGCUUUGAACACCUAAUUAAGAAAGUUACUCUAAAUGCCUAACUAAGAAAGUGGCUAUGAACGCCUCAGUGAGAAAGUGACCCUAAAUGCCUAAUUGAGAAAGUCGCUUUGAACGCCUAAGUGAGAAAGUGGCUCUGAAGGCCAAAGUGAGACGGUCGCUUUGAACACCUAACUCAACAAGUAGAUCUGAACACCUAAGCGAGAAAGCGACUACGAACGCCUAACUAAGAAUGAAUGCCUAACUGAGAAUAUGCCUCUAAACUCCUAACUGAGAAUAUGCCUCUAAACUCCUAACUGAGAAAGUUGCACUAAACGCCUAAUAGAGAAAGUGGGUAAGAACGAUAAAGUGAGAAUGUUGUUCUAAACUUCUAAUUGAGAAAGUGGCUCAAAACACUUAACUAAGAAAGUCACUCUGAACGCCUAAGUGAGAAAGUGGUUGUGAAUGCCAAAGUGAGAAAAUGGCUUUGAACACCUAACUGAGCAAGUGACUCUUAACUCCUAAGUGAGAAAGUGACUUUGAAUGCCUAGUUGAGAAAGUCACUCUAAACAUCUAACUAAGAAAGUCGCUAUAAAGGCCUAAGUGAGAAAAUGGCUCUCAACGCCUAAUUGAGAAAGUGGCUCUCAACGCUUAAGUGAGAAAGUGUCUUUGAUCACUAAGGUGAAAAAGUGGUUCUAAACGCCUAAUUGAGCAAGUGGCUCUGAACGCCUAAGUGAGAAAGUGGCGUCGAACGCCUAAGUUAGAAGGUGACUCUAAAUGCCUAAUUGAGAAAGUGGCUUAGAAUGCCUAAGUGUGCAAGUGGCCCUAAACACCUAACUAAGACAAUGGCUCUGAACGCCUAACUAAGAAAGUGGUGAUGAAUGCCUAAAUGAGAAAGUGGUUCUUAAGGCCAAAAUAAGUCACUGGCUUUGAACGCCUAAUUGAGCAAGUGGUUGUGAACGACUAAAUGAGAUAGUGGUUGUGAGCGCCUAAGUGAGAAAACUAAGAAAGUGGCUCUAAAUGCCUAUGUAAGAAAGUGGUUGUGAAAGCCAAAGUGGGAAAAUGGCUUUGAACGCCUAACUAGACUAGUGGCUUUGAAUGCCUAAUUGAGCUAGUGGCUCUAAACAUCUAAGUGAGAAAAUGGGUAUAAAUGCUUAAGUGAGAAAGUGCCUGUGAACACCUAACCAAGAAUGUGCAUUUAAAUGCCUAAUUGAGAAAGUCGCUCUAAAUGCCUAAUUGAGAAAGUGGCUUUAAACACCUAAUUGAGAAAGUGGUUCUGACUGCCUAACUGAGAAAGUCGCUUUGGAUGCCUAACUAAGAAAGGGGUUGUGAAGCAAAAGUGAGAAAGUGGCUUUGAAGGCCUAACUAUGCAAGUGGCUUUGAACGCCUAAGUGAGAAAGUGGCUCUAAACACCUAAUUGAGAAUGUGCCUCUAAACGUCUUACUAAGAAUGUGCCUCUGAACGCCUAACUGAGAAUGUGUCUCCAAAUGCCUAAAUGAGCAAGUGGCUCUGAACGCCUAAGUGAGAAAGUGGCUCUAAAUGCCUAAAUGAGAAAGUGGCUCAAGAUGCCUAAUUGAGAAUGUGCUUCUAAACGCUUAAUUGAGAAAGUCGCUCUGAACUUCUAAGUAAGAAGUGGCUAUGAAGCCAAAGUGAGAAUAUGGCUCUGAAUGCCUCAUUGAGAAAGGGGCUCAGAACACCUAAUAGCGUUUUUUUUUAUAAAUUAAUGCCAAAGUGAGAAGGGUUUCUUUGACUGUUGACGACGUACUAAUAACAUUUUGCUUUGGGAGAUUGAAUAUAUAUAUAUAUGUGUGUGUGUGUGUGUGUGUGUGAGAAAGAGAGAGAGAGAGAGAGAGAAAAGGAAAAUGAUGUUGAUGUUAGUUGAAGAGUUGUCUUGGUUGUCCUUAAUCGUCAUUUCCUUGAGGAGGGUUCACCAUUCAGCAAGCUGGCUAAACCUAUUAGGAGUCACUCAUUGGUUGGCAUGUUUAAUUUUCUCCCUAUUGAAUUAGGUGCGCAUACUAGUUGGUACAAGUCAUUUAAUAAAAAAAUUAAGAAAUAUUUACAAACCAUGUUAGCGUUAAAUAAGAGUACACUAUCUGAUCUAAGCAUUUUGAAGAUUCUUUCUUAUAACUUGAACUUCCUUAAGGGGGCAUUAGUUUUGAAAAAUCAAUGAAGUUAUGGAUGAAGUGUUAAACACAAGCUCAAGGCUAUAUUUGGUUUUCAAAAAUUUUGAAGGAAAAUAUGAUGGGAAGAAAAUAGAAAUGAUAGAAAUAAAAUGAAUAAAUAAAUGAAGAAAAAUAAAAAAUAAAUUUAAAAUUUAUAAAUUAUUAUUAUACAUGCAUUAUUUAAAAUUUAUUUUACUUAUUUUAAUAUUAAAUAAUUUUAAAAUAUAUAAAUUUCUAACCAAUUUUAAUUACAUUUGGUUCUCUUUCAUAUUUUUCAUAUGAAAAAACCAAACAUAAUAAAAUUAUUUUCCUAAUCAUUUUCUUUCUUUCCUUGAUACUUAGACAAUUUUGAAUUUCUCAAAAUUCUAAGAUUUUUUUUGAAAGAUAUUAGACUCCUAAAUUCUUUUAAAAUAAUAUAUUCUUUAAAGAAUUAACCAUCUAAGUCUAUCUAUCCUUUGGACCAUAAUAUCCUAGUACAAAAAUUUCAAACAAAUUGAUUGAAAAUAGAGAGUAGCUUAGGUAUUUUUGAACCACCUGUGUUUCUUAAAGUUUUUUUUAUGUCUUGGCUAGAUCUUGACCCCUUGUUAAUUUUACAUGUUAGUACACUGAAAAUAGAACCAAAGAGUAAAAUUCCACUUGAUUUUGAAUCUGUUUGCAUUAGGAAAGAAUUUGGUGAUAACACUCACCAUACUGCAACAACCUCAAGUCACAACAACUUACCUGCAAUAGAAAAAAUGGCUACACUAGAAGAAUCUUCAAGACUAUUGUAAAAUCACAUAACUGAUAUUCCAUUCAAGAAUCUAUUACAAUAGGUGUAUAAAUACUAUACAAGAAAAAAACACAAUAAUCCAAGAGAAUAAGAAAUUCCUUUAUUUGGAAAAUAUCAAUGGGUUUCAAUACUACGUGCUAAGAUAAUUUUAGAUUCCCAAAAUAUUAGUGUAUAUUAUUUGGGUCUGUUAUGAGUUUAUAAUUAUUUUAAAAUUUUAUAGACUUUAUCAUAGAAUAAAUCUUGAUUCUUGUACACUAAAGCAUGCGUCUUAUGACCUUUAAAACAUAAGAAAUUAUAAAUAAAUAAAAAAUGUAAAUGAUUUUAAUGUUAAGUUGCAGGAUUGCCUUGGUUGUCCUUAAUCAUAAUUUUCUUGAGGAGGAUUUACGAUUAAUCUAACAUUAAUUUGUUCACACGAAAUUAAACAAGGUGGCCAAAGCUAUUAUCUACUAGUAGGAGUUUCGAAUGUCAUCAAAUUAGGUGCAUAGAAUAUAUAGUUGGUAAAAGUCAUUUAAUAAAGAAAAAAAAUUGAAAAACCACUUCCAAAUUAGGUCAGCGUUAAAUAAGAUUAGACCCCCUAAUCGUGGAAUGAACUUUGGAGCGUCUUUCUUAUAACUUAGACCUUCCUUUUGGGGGCACGCAUUAGUUUCAAAAAAUGAAUGAAGUUCUAGAAGGAGUGUUAUUACAACCAUAGAAAGGGACAUAUAAGAAGAAAUUAUGAAGAAUUGAUAAAAACACCAAGUAGUAAGAAAAAAUCUUGAAUUCCAAUAAACAUCAAAUUUUACUAAUAUUGUUGAUAAAAAGUUUAAUAAAAAAGAUGAUUUCUUUCUGUUAUAGUCAAUAAAUUUUUUGUUGACUCUUAGAUUUUGAAUUUUAUUGUUUGAAUGGGCAAUGAUUCAAGUUCUAAAGUCAUUAAGAUCAAUACCAUAAAGGUGAGGAUGUUUGAUGGUAUUAUGAGAAUGUUGAGUAAUGUUUAGCAUAUUGCUAAGUUGAGAAAGAGUUUAAUUUCUUUAGAGGCUUUGGAUACUCUUUUGUAUGAUUUUUCUGCAAAAAAAUAAAUAAAUGAUAUUAUGAAUAUCAAUUAAAGUGCUUUGAUAGCUAUGAUAGGGAAAAGGUGAAAAAAUUUUACAACUUGAUUGAAAAUAUAAUUUUAGGUGGAGCUAUGAAGGUAGAGUCACAUCAUGAAAAGUUUUUUACUAGUAGUUAAGAAGUUGUCAAAGUAGAUGGAUGCCACAAGAUGAUUGAGAUUCCGUUUUUCACUAAGUGUACUCAUUAACACAAGGAUGAAAACACUUUCAAAAUGAAUAAAGUUAUAAAGAAAACAAAGACAAUUUCUUAAAUCAAGUUCGAUGAUAGUUUGAAUUUGUCACAUAUUUAUUCUCUUUAAUUAUGCAAAAUUGAGAAAUUUUAAUCAAUGUGGAGAUUGUUGGUAUUUGGUUUAAAUUAUCUAUUUAUUAUAUUUAGGAAAGUCAAUAUUUAUAAUAGAGUUUGUGUUUUGGUAAAUUACCUUUUUCGAGUUUGACUAUGAUUAGGAAACUAUUGAUUUUGGGUUCAUCCAUAGGACUUUACAAAUAUGAGGUUUUAAAUAGGAUUUAGUAAGAGAAAUAAAAAUGCAUAAAGAGUGAAGAUAUAUAAGCAAAGGGUGUAUUGAAUUUUAAGUAAAAAAAGAUUGAAAAAGUUUGAAGUUGUUGGGCUAUGUUUGUCUAGCCCAUGAGCCCAUAUAUUAGGCUAAUUUAUAUUUAGGUUUUCCCUAAGCCCAAAUAUGGAUAUAAAAAUAGCAUUAGGGCUUUGGUAUUGAGAGAAAAGGGCAUUUGAUUGAGAAAAGGAAAGAAGAUCAGGAUUUGUUUUUAUGGGCACUGUUCCAGGGCUCAAGGGUGAAGUUACAAGUUCCUUUCAUCAACCUUUUUGGGGAAUUCCUAUGGUACGUUUUCUCCCUAAUUUCUUUCUGUUCAUGUUUCAUUGGGUGAUGGAUUCCUACCUAAAGUGAGGACUUAAGUAUUGUAUCCCUAUUUAUUGAAGUAGAAGAAAUUUUCUCUAUGGUUUUUUACCUCUAUUCAAAGGGUUUUUCCACAUUAUAUUUGGUAUCCUCUUUUGUGGUUGAAUGUUAUUGAUUGUCAUUCUUGAUUCUUGUUAAGUUGUUAUUAUUCUUGAGAGGUGGUUAUUAUUGUUGAGUGGUUGUUAUUCUUGUGGAGGAAUCUUUUAACUUUGGCAGGUUAAUACUCUAGAUCUCUCCCUUUAUCUUCCCAACAAGUGGUAUCAGAGCUUGGUUGUGGAACUUUUAUUCUUGAAAGGAAUGGAGAUAAAAAGGGAACUCAACCUCCAUGAUAAAACUUAACAAUUUAAAUUAGGCUAUGUGGAAGUCCAUGAUGGAAGAUUUUCACACCAUCAAAGAUUUGUCAAAUACUUUUGAAGAUAAAGAAGUUAGUCCCAAAGAUAUUUUUGAUUUGGAAUGGAAUAAGAUGAACAAAAAGGCAAUUGCCUAUAUUAGGCAAUAGAUUGACACAUCCUCACAUCACCAUGUGGCAAAUGAAACAAAUGCCCAUAAUCUCUAGAAGAAAUUGGAAUCCAUGUUUGCACAAAAAACUGUUGGGAAUAAAAUUUUCUUGUUAAAAAAGUUGGUGAAUAUGAAGCUAAAGGAAGGAACACAAAUGACAGAUCACUUGAAUGUUUUUCAAAGCAUUGUUAAUCAUUUGGUUGUGUUCAUUACCAAAUAGUUAGAAAACUUUUGUUGUGACUAUUAGCAACUCUACUCCGAAUGGUGCAUUGUCUAUAGAACUUAUGAAGGGAAAUUUGUUCAAUGAAAAGACAAGAAGGAAGGCUUAUGACACAGAAAAUGCACGAGCCCUCAUCAUAGAAAGUAAAGAAAGAAACAAGGAUAAAGGAUAGAAAGGUUAUGACAAGUUUGAGGGAAGGUCCCAAUCCAAAGGUAAAAUCAAAUGUUUCCAUUGUGGAAAAGAUAGGCAUAUGAAAAGGAAUUUUCGAAUUUGGAAAAGGGAAUAGAAUAGGUAGAAUCAGGAAAAAGAAUAUGAAAAGAAUACCACAACCUCAGUAUCUAACAAUGAUGAAGUUUUAGUGCUCUCAAAUGAGUGUUUGCAUAUAGAUAAGCAAGAAAUUGAGUGGACUAUAGACAUUGUAGCCUCCUACAUGCUACUCCUCACAUGGAGUCGUUUUUUUAUUAUAGAGUUAAAGACUAUGGCAUAGUCAAGAUGGGAAACUCUAGUCACUCCAAGAUUGUAGGGAUGGGUGAUGUUUGCUUUGAAACCAAUAUGCGGUACAAGUUGACAUUGAAAGAUGUAAGGCAUGUUUCAAAUUUACGCCUUAAUCUAAUGUUAGGUUUUGUCUUGGACAAGCAAGGUUAUGAAAAGCACUUUAGCAAAGGCAAAUGGAAGCUUACUAAGGGCUCAUUGGUUGUUGCAAAAGAAGAAGCAUGUUGCACUUUGUAUAAGACCCAAGGAAAAGUUUGUAAUGAUGAGUUACAUGUUAUAAAGGGUACUUCCUUGGAGUUAUGGCAUAAAGGUUGGGGCAUAUGAGUAAGAAAGGAUUGCAAGUUUUGGUAAGGAAGUUCUUAAUUCCUUUGGCCAAAAAUGAAUCCUUAUCUUCUUGUGAUCAUUCUUUAAUUAGAAAACAACAUAGGGUUUCCUUUAGUAGCAGAUCUAACAAGUUAGAGAAGUUGGAAUUGGUAUACUCUAAUGUUUGUGGCCCAAUGGAUAUGGAAAAUCUUGGAGGAAACAGGUACUUUGUCACUUUCAUUGAUGAUGCUACCAAGAAGGUAUGGAUUUAUUUGCUCAGAUCAAAGGAUCAAGUCUUUCAGUAUUUUCUACAAUUUCAUACCAUGGUUAAGAGAGAAACUGGAAGAAAAUUGAAGUGUCUCAGGUCUAAUAAUGGAGGUGAGUACACCUCAAGGGAGUUUGAAACUUAUUGCACUAAGAAUGGUAUAAGGCAUGAGAAAAAAGUUUAUGGCACUCCAUGGUAUAAUGGUGUGGCUGAAAUGAUGAAUUGCACCAUCAUUGAGAGAGUUAGGUGUAUGUUGAAUACUGCAAAGUUGCCUAAGGUGUUUUAGGGUGAAGCUACUCAAACUGCCUGCUAUUUGAUAAACAAAUCUUUAUCAGGUCCAUUGAACUUUGAGGUUCCAAUGAAGGCAUGGACAGGAGAAGAUGUUACCUAUUCCCACUUGAGGGUCUUUGGAUAUAAAAGUUUUGUGCAUGUUCCUAAAGAACAAAGAUCUAAACUUGAUGAUAAGGCAAUUCCACAUGUCUUUGUUAGGUAUGGUGAUGAAGAGUUUGGAUUCAAAUUAUGGGAUCCAACUAAGAAGAAAUUGGUGAGAAAUAGAGAUGUGGUCUUCCAAGAGGAUCAAACCUUAGGAGAUUUUGACAAAGCCAAUCAAUUGAAAGGUACAAGUGAUGACUUCAUUGAGUUGGUACCUAUUCCCCAAUCAUUAGAGCAGCCUAGAAAUGAACAGGAGGAAAUUGAUGAGCUACCAAGAGAUGAUAGUGCAAAUGACAUACCUGCACAAGAGCUAAUUCAACACAAGGAGUAGGAGGAUUUGAUACCCCAAGUUAGGAUGUCUACUAAAGAGCAUCGUCCCUUUACUAUAUAUCCCUCUUCUGAGUACAUGUUAGAUGAGAGGGAGCCACAAAGUUUUCACUAAUCUAUGCAAGAUGAGAUGGAUUCCUUGUAGAAAAAUGAAAAUUAUGAGUUAAUACAACUUCCUAAAGGAAGAAAAUCAUUGAAAAACAAAUGGAUAUUCAAGUGGUUAAGAGAUAUGGUUGAAGAAAAUGCAGCUAAGUUGAAGAAGAUUCACUUAAACAUGUUGACAAAGGUUGUUCCCAAACAGAAGCUUCAGUUGUGCAUUGGAACAAGAGGUUUGAACUCUAUGUGAUGGAGUUAUAGAUUGGCACUCUCCUCUCAUAUGCUGGAGGGGGAGAUUGUUAGGCUAUGUUUAUCCAACCCAUGAGCUCAUAUAUUAGGCCAUUUUAUAUUUUGGUUUUCCCUAAGCCCAAAUAUGGAUAUAUAAAUAGCAUUAGGGCUUUGGUAUUAAGAGAAAAAGGCAUUUGAUUGAGAAAAUGAAAGAAAAGAUUAGGGUUUGUUUUUAUGGGCACUGUUCUAAGACUCAAGGGUGAAGUCACAGGUUCCUUUCAUCAACCUUUUUGGGGAAUUCCUAUGGUAUGUUUUCUUCCUGAUUUCUUUCUGUUCAUGUUUCCUGGGGUGAUGGAUUCCCACCUCAAGUGAGGACUUAAUUAUUGUACCCCCAUUUAUUGAAGUGCAAGAAAUUUUCUCUAUGGUUUUUUACCUCUAUUUAGACGGUUUUUCCAUGUUAUAUUUGGUGUCCUCUUUUGUGGUUAAAUUUUCUUGAUUGUCAUUCUUGAUUCUUGUUAAGUUGUUAUUAUUCUUGAGAAGUGGUUAUUAUUGUUGAGUGGUUGUUAUUCCUGUGGAGGAAUCUUUUAACCUUGGUAGGUUAAUACUCUAAAUCUCUCCCUUUAUCUUCCCAACAAAAGUGUGUGUUUUUAAAGUUUAUUAAUAAAUUUGACCUCCUUUUCCCAUGAAUGUAGGCGAUUAUAAUGAACCCCAUAAAUCUUUUGUCUUCCGUAAUUUAUUUUGAAACCUAUAAAUGGAGGAGAUGAAAGACAAUAUGUUUCAAGGAGAAUUGAUAGUGCUUUCAUGAAUAUUCUAUCUCAAUAUGAGGGGAAACAUUGUCAACUCCUUUUUUGUUGAAAGUUUCUCAUUUACUUCUUUUUAGGUAAACAACUUAAUCUUGGCUUGUUCUUACUUCAUGUGUCAACGACAAUUAUCAUGAACAUAAUAUGACUUAGUUGCAACAAAUGUCCAGGAAAAUUUGGGAGGAUAAAAAACCAACGCACUUGAGAAAGCAACCAUUUAUAAUAGCCAUAGUAUUGAAAACUUAUCAAUUAUAGCUAUCAAAUGUUUUUAUCCCACACCCUCAACAAAAAGCACCGCUAUACAAUUUUAGAAAAAGAGCGAUAACAAACCAAUGGUAUGUUUGAAAAUAGUAAAACAAUUUCCUAUUUUUAAGAGGAAAACAAUAAGUAAACAACAUCUAGCAACAAAAAAAUAGAAAAUAGUUUUCUAUUUUUAAAAAUAUAAAAUAACAUGUUUUCUGAUAACAUAUUUUAGUUGUUUUCAUUUGUUUUCUAAUGGUUAUUUUAAAAAAAACAAAUAUUUAAAUAUGAAGAAUAAUUAAAAAUAAAGCACUACAAAUAAAAGUUAUUUUCAAAAAAGUUAUGUGAUAGCUCACAUCAAAUAGGAGAAAGACAUUAUACACAUAUGAAUUCUUCUUAAUCAUGCAUGUAGAUGUGUUUUAAAGUCAUAAAGGUUCUUUUGACCUACAAUGGACAAUAUCUACAUGGCUGAGAUUAGAUUGUAAGUCAAUCCCUGACCUUAGUGUGAGUUUGUUUAGCCCUACAAGAAAUGUUUGUUUGUUUGUUUGACCCCACAUGACCCUGAAAUGCUAUGAGACAUAAUGUGGACGUUGUGUCUUCAUGGAGGUCAAUUAUGAUAUCUCACAAUUAGAUGGAACAAAAAUUUCUUAACACUAAAUAUGUAUGAACUACUCUUAACUAUAUAGAUGUGUUUUUGAGUCAUGAAGGCCAGAGCAAAAAAUAUCUACAUAAUUAGGAAUUUUCUAUAUAUUAAAUCAUAGAACUCAAAUAAACUUUUGUGCAAUAAAACAUCAAAUAACACUUUUCAAAAACAGUUCUCAAAAUCUAUUUUGAAAAUACUUUCUAAACAGAACCCAAAUUUUUAGUUGAAAAAGAAGUUAAGAGCACGAAACAUUACCAUAUAAGACUUAAAGGAGGUUUUCGAAGUUCAAACGAAUUUCAAACUACUAUAUUUUGUGUAACAAAUAACUAUUGCUUCCUCUUAUGUCACAAAUCUUAAUUAGCUAUGUUUAACAAGCAUUAGGUAGAUCUAUUCAUUGAAAUGUCGCUUUUCUUUGUCUUUUUUUUUCAUAUUUUAUAUUGAAAAUAAAGACCUUUGAAAGGCUAUUGUUUUCUAUAUAGCAAGAAACACAGAAAGAUAAUAUUGGUACUCCAAAAACAUUGAGCCUUAUUUCAGUCUUAGAAACUAUGACAGGAGGAAAAAAAAAAAAAGAAACCACUAAGGGGAAAAGAAAAGGAAGAAUAAAUUUCAAUCAACCAUAUUGAGCAGAAAUGGACUAGUAAUUAAAUGAAUAAAUGUAUUCACAAGCGUAAAUCAUGUGGAGAAUAACUCAAAUUAAGGCGUUUCCUAGGCCAUACAUGCGCCAUGUAUGGUAAAGCAUCAACUACCAGCAAAGAUGAUUUCCAACUUAUUCAUUUAUUCUCAAUUUGUCUUAGUGUAAAAACCUUCAGAAGGGUACGUACGUACCACAUGUGAAUAAUAAUCAAAAUUACAAAAUACGUACAAUUGCCAGUAUGUUCUUCAUUAUGUAAACAAACGCACAAACUUUAUCACAAGAAUGACAAGAUACACGACCUAAUGAAAAGAAUUUCUGAUUUUGGGGGCUCCCAUGGUGGAGCUUUAUCUAUAUAUAUGUUCACUGUCCAGUAGCCAUGACGAACGGAGGGGGAGGCUUGGCAUGGCCUGCAAACUUCAUACCGUUAUGGCAAGGUGGGGCGCCCUUUUCCGGGAUAUGGCUGCAUGAACUGCUUCCAGAGGGAGGCACAGGACCUGAACUCAGAGAUUGCAAAGGAACAAAUCUUAUCUUGAUCCACUCUUCUUUCUCUCCAUCAAGAACCCUACCAGCACUGUGUGGUUGGACGCUCAGAACAAGGACAAGUGCCGUGACAGCUAAAGCAAUGUUGAGAAACCUCAUGAUCGAUCUUUGGCGGGUUAAGCAAAGAGGAGAUGAUCAAAGCAAUAUUUUUAGAUGGACAAAUUAAUAUGCAUAUAUGAUAUAUGGAAGAGAACGACCAUCUCGGUUAUUUAUAUGCUCCCAAUGGUAUGACUGGAGUUUUUGGUAGUUUGGCUUGUUUGAAGGGUUUCUUUGACUGUUGACUUACUAAUAGUGUUUUGCUUUGGGAGAUUGAAAAUUGAAGUGGUCUUAAAGAAGAAACUACGUCUGAAAAUACUUGAUUACUGUACACAUGAGCAUGCAUCUUAUGACCUUUUUGAACACCAAAAAUUAUGUGAGAAGGAAAAUGAUUUUAAUGUUAAGUUGGAGAGUUGCCUUGGUUGUCCUUAAUCAUCAUUCCCUCCCUAUUGAAUUAGGUUCACAUACUAGUUGGUAAAAGCCAUUUAAUAAAAAAAUUAAGAAAUAUUUACAAACUAGGUUAGCGUUAAAUAAGAUCGAGUACACUAUUUGAUCUAGGCAUUUUGGAGGUUCUUUCUUACAACUUGAACUUCCUUAAGGGGGCAUUAAUUUUGAAAAAUGAAUGAAGUUAUGGAUGAAGUGUCUUCACUUAAACGGGAGCUUAAGGCUAUAUUUGGUUCUCAAAAAUUUUAAGGGAAAAUGCGAGGGAAAUAAAAUAGAAGUAAUAGAAGUAAAAAUAAAAUAAAAUGAAAAAUAAUUUUAAAAUUAAUAAAUUAUAUUUUGUACUUGCAUUGUUUCAAAUUUUUUUACUUAUUUUAAUAUUAAAUAAUUUUAAAAUAUAUAAAUUUCUAGCCAAUUUCAAUUAUAUUUUAUUCUCUUUCACAUUUUCCAUAUGAAAAAAACCAAACACGAUAAAAUCAUUUUCCUUAUCAUUUUCUUUCUUUCCUUAGACAAUUUUGAAUUUCUCAAAAUUCUAAGAUUUUUUUAAAAGAUAUUAGACUCUUAAAUUCUUUAAAAUAACUCUUUAAAAAAUUAACCAUCUAAGUCUCAUUUGAUCCUUUGGACCAUAAUAUCCUAGUACAAAAAUUUCAAAAAGAUUGAUUGAAAAUAGAGAGCAGCUUAGGUACUUUUGAACCACUCGUGUUGCUUAAAGUUCUGGGAUGUUUUGGCUAGAUUUUGACCCCUUGUUAAUUUGAUAUGUUAGUAAACUGAAAAUAGAACCAAAGAGUAAAAUUCCACUCCAUUCUGAAUUUGUUUGCAUUAGAAAAGAAUUUCUAAAAUAUCAAUGGGUUUUCAAUACUAUGUGCUAAGAUAGUUUUAGAUUCCCAGAAUUUGUGUAUAUUAUUUGGGUCUCUUAUGAGUUUAUAAAUUAUUUUUUAAUUUUAUAGACUUAUUGUAGAAUAAAUCUUGAGAGUUUUGUAAUUUUUGAAACUCAUUUGGCUAAUGAAAAAACCGAGAAAAUGAGUAGCAUUGUAGAAUACUUUGUUUUUAGCAAAUCUAGAACCAAUUUAGGUUGAAGAUUGAUUGAUGAUCUUUCGCUGACCAUUUGACUUGGUUAUUAAUCUUCAAGGUAUUUAAAUUCAUCAAACAUAUUCAUUGACUUGAGUUCCACUUGAAUUGAACUUUGUUUGCCUAGAUUUGUUUUUAAAAAAAACUUUGUAUCUUUUCAUCUAGGGUGUUGUUUGGGUGAAAAUAGGCUUGCAAGACCUUAGAAUCCUAGUUUCCCGUUUUUAUAAAAUUAUCAAAUAUCUUUAAAUUUUCUUUUUUAGAGGAAAACUUAGAUUUUGAGGAAGCAUCAUAUUGUAAAAAAUAUUAACUUUUUAGUAUAGAUGUUUUUGUGAGUAGUUUGAUACAUAUGAUUUUAUUAAAUUUUUCAGAAAGUAAAUAUCUAUAAUUGCUUAGUUUUAUUAACAUAUGUUCUAUAUUGCUUGCUUAGUUUACUAAUAGCAUAAAAUAUAUGUUGAAUUUCUAUUUCGUGAAGUGCAUUGAUUAUUGAGUUUGCAAAAAUAAAUGUUGCUUUGUCUUUAAGUAAUUAUUUAAUGACUUAUGUGUAUUGACAAUUCACGAAAUUACAAAUUGUGUUAUGAUUUAAAUAAAAUAUAGAAACAUUUGGGCAUUUAUAACUAAGGGGCAUCAGAACAUGCACAUCCACGAAGUAUUUCAUGCAAUUUUGUUUUGGAACUCUCCACCAAUUGUGUAGUAAGAGGAAAAUCAUAAGACAGGGUUAUGUGUUCUAAUGUCAGUAUAGGUGGUAGAGUUCACAAAGUAUACCCUUUUGUACCCUUUAAUGAGAUAACCAGACAAUGAGUUUUGUGGUAUUAUGAUCAAGGAUAGUAAAACCCUAAAGAGCACGUAGAUAUGCGGUAACCAUAAAGAUAAUAGGCUUGUGUAUAGUUAAUGGAUUGACCAUAAAUAUGUCUAGACUUAUGAUUUUAUUAUUUAUAUCUUACAUGUUCUUUAAAUGUUAUUAUCAUUACAUUAUGCUAGUUUUUGUACAUCAUAACUAUCUACUAAAUCGUCUAUUCACUCCCAUAGAUUUUAAUGUUUUUCAAGUAAAGACUCUCAGUAUACUUAUCGAGGAUGUAGAAUUAGUUUCAGAGAGCAAGUCACUAAAUACCUAGCUUUGUGUCUUUUCUUAUUAAACUUGUGGGAUAUGUAGUCCAUUUCCUUUAUGUAUUUUAAUUUUAAUUUAGUUGUUUUCAACUAUAUGCCUCAUCUUGUCAACCUUUGUUUCCAUUAUUAAUUUAUUUUAUUGUUGUUGCUUUAUCAACAUUAUUUAGUUGUAUGUUUUUUGUUUUUUUUUUCAUACAAUAUAUUUAUCUACUGAGACAAUAAUUUCAUUUUAGAUUAUGAUACAAAGUGGGCUCAUUAUCUCUUAGUGGACCCUUUUUAGGCCGGUCCUUACAAAAUAAGUUCCUAAUGAUAUUCUUAUAUAUUAGUUUUCUUAUCCCUUCAUGAAUUACAUAGUAAUUUUCUCUUAUUGGUGUAGACAUGUUUUUAGGCUGUUUGAAUUUAGACCCAAGGAAAAUAAUAUUUACACUAAAAAAUGAGUUGUUCUGCUUCAUUGUCAAACUAAUAAAAAGACUACCAUGAAUAUAUAUACAUAUGAUCACAAAUAAUCAGCCUUACCAACAUAUUUUUAGUCUUUGAAUUAAAUACAUUUUAUCCCAUCAACCUUUUACAUGUUUUACUAGUUACCCUUCACAUUCAAAAUCCAACAAACAGCAAGCACACAUGAGUAUGUGCAUCAUUCAACUUGUUCUUUUUUAUUUCUAUAUAUAUAUCACAAAGUGUAAAAGUCCAUUAGGGUACAAAAUGUGAAUAGUGAAAAAGAAUACACAAAUGACAUACAACCAAUUUGUGUUAUUAUUAUUUUUUUCUUUAUUCAUUUAUCAGAAUGAAAAUAUAUAAAAACAAAAAAUGCAAGGCCUACAUAUUCAUUUUAUUCGUUAUGGUCUUAUAGAAGUCCUAAAAUACGUAGUUAUGUGCUCAGGACUCGUAAGAUGACCAUGCAUAGUGGAGCUUCAUUUACGUUCAGUAGCCAUGACAACCGGAGUGCUGGCAUGCGAACGUGCUCUAGGGGGAGGCAUGGCAUGACCCCCAAACUUCAUUCCAUUGGGACAAGGUAAGCCUUUUUCGGGGACACGGCUGCAUGAACUUAGUCCUGAAGGAGGGACAGGUCCUAAAAGCAUAGAUUUCAAAGGAACAAUCUUAUCUUCAUCCACUCUUCUUUCUCUCCAUCAAGAACCCUACUAGCACUGCCGGGUUGGACACUCAGAAUAAAAACAACUGCUGUGACAGCUAAAACAAUGUUGAGAAAUUUCAUGAUGAUCUUGGUUGGGUUAAGCAAACAGGAGAUGAUCAGGUAGAGCAAUAUUUUUAUGCGGGCAAUAUGAAGAUAUAUGGAGGAGAACGAUCACCGGUUAUUUAUAUUAAUGCUGCCAGUGGCAUGACUAGAGUUUUUGGUAGUUUGGCUUAGUUGAAGGGUUUUUUUUUUACUCUUGACUAAUAGAAUUUUACUGUAGGAGAUUAGAAAUUGAAUAGGUCAUAAAGGAAGAAAAUACCUAGAAUUACCCAAAUGACUAGUUUUCUUUUGUAGUUAAUUUAAUUCAACAUAUGAAUUUAUCUUAAACCAAUUAGAAAGAAAAUAUAUGAUAAUCUCUCCAAGAUUUUUUGAAAAUAGAUAUGAGAAAUUAAUCCAUUCCCAUUAACUUUAAUUAAUACUAAAGUACAUAAUUUGGCUUGGUUAAAUAUCAUUAGUUGUCAUUUCUGAGAAAAAUUCAGAUAAUUAUUGUUUUGGAGACCAGGUUCUACUAUAUAAUCACAUUUUUUUCACCAAAUUAAGCAAUAUUCGUAAAGCUUAUUUACAUUAUUGAUUUGUAAUUAACCUGUAUUGGACACUGAAGAAUCAAUUUAUAUGCUACAAGUACAAGUGAUAUUCACUAGCAUGUUCAGGAUACAUGGCCUUUUCUGUGCCAUAUUAAUUGCAUAAGGGGCUGCUAAAUCAUAUCUCAUAAAAAUUAAUCAUUUCCAAAUUGUUAGCAUUAAUCUAUAGCAAAGUUAAGUAUUAAUUCAAAAUUUUCUCAUCGUUGUAAAGAACUUAAUGGUAGAAAUAGGAGUAGAGAGACCAAUCUAGGUAGGUAUGGUCUAUGAAGACUUUUGUCUUAUAUAAUACGUACCAUUUACUUCAUUAUUUUAGAGGCAUUGAUUUUGAACAAAGAUAAAUUAAGUUGUGGUAGGAACACGUUUACUUGAAUUGGGGCUUGAAUGUUUGGGGCUUUUAGACGACAUACUUCUAGCAGAUUCAAGUCAUUGAACAUAACUCUACCAACACGCAUCAGCUUUUCCACCCUCAGGAGCCAUGAGACAAAGUCCAUUUCUAUGUAUAUAUGCACAUGUACCAACCCUCUUUAUUAUGACUCUACCCAUGUUGACAUAGUUUAACACGAGUUCAAAUUAGUAACUUAGGAUGAUAUUUAAGGCUUAAGCUAAAUUAUAUAUUUUGAUAAAUAUGGUUAAUAUGGUUAAUAUUAUCUGUCAUCCAACAACUUAAGGUUUUAAAUCAAAUGAGCAAUUUAACAAUUACACUAUCCUUAUUCCAUUAAUUGGAAGGCUCUUCGUAUCUUUUGCCCAAGAUAUCUAGGAAUUUUUAUUUUUUUUGCUUAAAUAAUAAUAUAAUUUAUAAAUAAAUAAUAUAUAUAUAUAUAUAACAGUAUUUUACAACGUAUUAAGAAAAAAUAUGAUAUUUUUCGAAGUCGGUCUUUUUUUAAAAAACAAUUUCACAAGCAUAAAUGGUUUUUAAGAAAAACAAUUUCUUGUUCAUAGAUAUCUUGUAUUUCAUCUCUUAUUUUCUUUCUUAUUUCAAGUAAGAUUGUUGUUUCAAAAUGGGAUUUUGACAUGAAUAUAGUACUCUUUUAUACCCUUAGGUGAGAUGACUAGGAGAUGAUCGAACUCUAUAGUAUUAUGAUCAAGGAUAGUGAGACCUAAAGAGCAUGUUGAUGAUACGUGGUGGCCAUGAAGGUAAUAGGCUUGUGUAUAGCUGAUGGAUUGACCAUAAAUAUGUCCAAAUCUAUUAUUUUAUUAUUUAUAUCUCAUACAUUUUUUAAACGUUAUUAUCAUUAUGUUAUGCUAGUUUUGGUACAUCAAAAUUACUCCAUAUAUAAUAUAUUUUAAGACUAUUUUUACCUUGUAUUAAUUAUCAUAACACAAGUGCAGCAUAAUUAUCCACUAAACCAUUCAUUCACCUAAUAGAUUUUAAUGGUUUUUUAGGUAAGGACUCUCGUAUGCCUAUUCAUGAGGUAGAAUCAGCUUCAAAGAACAAAUCACUACGUACCUAGAUUUGUGUUUUUCUUUAUUAGACCUAUCGGAUGCGUAAUCUAUUUCCUUAAUGUAUUUUAGUUGUUUUCAGUUGUAUGUCAUCUUGUCAACCUUUCCUUCCGCUAUUAAUUUAUUUUAUUAUUGUUGUUUUACCAAAAUCAUUAACUUGUGUGUAGUUUUUAUACUAAAUGUUUAUCUGUUGAGACAAUGAUUUCUUUUUAGAUUUUGAUGCAAAAUGGACUCACCGUCUCUUAGUGGGCCCUUUUUGGGUGGGUGUUUACAGAUCAAGUUUCUGAUAAUAUCAUUAUGUAGCAGUUUUCUCUUUACUAAUUACAAAGCAAUUUUCUCUUAAUGAUGUAGACAUGGUUUUAGGCUAUGGUUACACCUAAAGAAAAUAAUAUUUAUACUAAAAAAUAAGUUGUUCUGUUCUAUUAUCAAACUAAUGAAAAAGCUACCCUGAAUAUAUCCAUAUUAUCACAAAUAAUUACCCUUGCAUAUACUUCAGUUUUUUUCCUCUUCUCUAGCAUAUAAGUGCCGUAAACUUGGAUGCAUGAGCAAAGUUUGACAAAACACGCGGAUGAAUGCCGAACAAAGAUGAUGAAAAUGGAAGUACUGCUACAACCAGCAAUCAUAUAUGAGCAUAUGCAUCAUUCAACUUGUUCUUUUUUAUUUCUAUAUAUAUCACAAAGUGUAGAAGUCCACCAGGGUACAAACUGUGAAUGGAGAAAAAGAAUACACGAAUGACAUACAACCAAUUUGUGUUAUUAUUAUUUUUUCUAUGAGAAGGAAAAUAUAUCAAACAAAAGAACAAAAACAACAAAUGCAAGGCCUACAUAUUCAGUUUAUUCCUUGUGGUCCCAUAAAAGUCAUAAAAUACGUAGUUAUGUGCUCAGGACUCGUACGAUUUUCUGAUGUUGAGUGAUGACUAUUUAUGGUGGAGGCUAGAGCUUCAUUUAUGUUCGGUAGCCAUGACAACAGGAGUGCUGGCAUGCGAACGUGCUCUAGGGGGAGGAAUGGCAUUACCCGCAAACUUCAUUCCAUUGGGACAAGGUGAGCCUUUUUCAGGGAUAUGGCCGCAUGAACUUGGUCCUGAAGGAGGGACAGGUCCUGAUAGAAUAGAUUUCAAAGGAACAAUCCUUAUCUUCAUCCACUCUUCUUUCUCUCCAUCAAGAACCCUACUAGCACUGUGGGGUUGGACACUCAGAAUAAAAACCACUGCUGUGACAGCUAAAACAAUUUUGACAAAUCUCAUGAUGAUCUUGGUUGGGUUAAGCAAACAGGAGAUGAUCAGAUAGAGCAAUAUUUUUAUGUGGGCAAUAUGAAGAUAUAUGGAGGAGAACGAUCACCGGUUAUUUAUAUGAAUGCUGCGAGUGGCAUGACUAGAGUUUUUGGUAGUUUGGCUUAGUUGAAGGGUUUUUUUGACUCUUGACUAAUAGAAUUUUACUGUAGGAGAUUAGAAAUUGAAUAGGUCAUAAAGGAAGAAAAUACCUAGAAUUUACCCAAAUGGUUAGUUUUCUUGUGUAGUUAAUUUAAUUCCACAUAUGCGUGCAUCUUAAAUCAAUUACCAAGAAAAUAUAUGAUACUCUCUCCAAGCUUUUUCGAAAAUAGAUAUGAGAAAUUAAUCCAUGUCCAUUAGCUUUAGUUAAUAGUAAAGUAUGUAAUUUGGCUUGAUUAAAUAUCCUUAUUUUCACGAGAAAGUUAGAUAAUUAUCGUUUUGGAGACCGGGUUCUACUAUAUAAUCACAUUUUUUUUUCACCAAAUUAAGCAAUAUUCGUAAAGCUUAUUUACAUUAUUGAUUUGUAAUUAACCUGUAUUGGACACUGAAGAAUCAAUUUAUGUGCUACAAGUACAAGUGAUAUUCCCUAUCAUGUUCAGGAUACAUGGCCUUUUCUGUGCCAUAUUAAUUGCAUAAGGGGCUGCUAAAUCAUAUCUCAUAAAAAUUAAUCAUUUCCAAAUUGUUAGCACUAAUCUAUAGCAAAGUUAAGUAUUAAUUCAAAAUUUUCUCACGGUUGUAGAGCACUUAAAUAAGAGUAGAGAGACCAAUCUAGGUAGGUAUGGUCUAUGAAGACUUUUGUCAUAUAUGAUACGUACCAUUUACUUCAUUAUUUUAGAGGCAUUGAUUUUGAACAAAGAUAAAUUAUAUUGUGGUAGGAACACGUUUACUUGAAUUGGGGCUUGAAUGUUUGGGGCUUUUAGACGGCAUACUUCCAGCAGAUUUAAGUCAUUGAACAUUACUAACACGCAUCAGCUUUUCCACCCUCAGGAACCAUGAGACAAAAUCACACAAUUUCAACAAACACACAAGCCCAAUUUCAACAAUAAUCACUAUUAAAAUCAAAGGGAAAAAACUUACACAAUUUCAAAUUUUAGAAGGAUAAAAAAAUGAGAGAAAGUUGAUGAAAUGGAAGAAUGGGAGAGGAAAGGAGGGAGUUGUCGGUUGGCAGUGGCUAACCAGCGGCGGGAGGGAUGAUGGGUUUUUUUUUUUGGAAAUAAAAAAAAUAAAAUGAAAAAAGAAAUGGAAGGAAGGAAAUGAGGGGUGCAUGUGGCAGUGAAAAAAAUUGGGGGCCAGCCACUACCUUGUGUGGGAGCUGGGGAGGGAAAAAAAAACAAAAAACUCUAGAGGGGAGAUGGGAGGAGAGAGAAUGGGGAGUAGGUGGAGUGGUUGGGGAAUAAUAGGAAGAGAAAGGAGAGAGGAGAGAAAAAAGAAAGAAAAUGAAGAAAAGAAAUAGAAAUAAAAUAAUAAUAAUAGUAAAUAAUAAUAAAAUAAAAUAAUAAAAACUAAUAAUUAGAUGGUGAGUUAGCAAAAAAUAUAAAAUAUAAUCGAAAUUUAAAAACUAAAAAUAAAAUUGGGUUAAAAAUUAAUGUAAAGAUAAAAUUGGAACAAAUUUUGGGAUCUACAGCUCUUCGUAUAUAUCCUCUAUCCAAGAUAUCUAGGAUUUUUUUUAAAUAAUAAUAUAAUUUUAAAAUAUAUAUAUAUAUUACAAAAAUAUAAUAUUUUUGAAAGUUGUCUUUUUAAAAAAUGAUUUCACAUUCACAAAUUGUCUUUAUAAAAAAUAAAAACAAGUUUUUGUUAAUAGCUAUCUUGUAUUUCAUCUUUUAUUUUCUUUCUUAUUUCAAGUAAGAUCAUUGUUUCAAAAUGCGAUUUUGACAUGAAUAUACUCUUUUAUACCCUUAGAUGAGCUCUAUGGUAUUACAAUCAAGGAUAGUGAGACCUUGAAGAGCAUGUUGAUAUGUGGUGGCCAUGAUGGUAAUAGGUUUGUGUAUAGCUAAUGGAUUGACUAUAAAUAUCUCCAAAUCUAUUAUUUUAUUAUUAUAUGUCAUACUUUUUUAAAAUGUCAUUAUCAUUAUGUUAUGCUAGUUUUUGUACAUCAAAAUUAUUCCAUAUAUACUAUAUUUUUAAACUGUUUUUACUUUGUAUUAAUUAUAUCCUAACACUUGUGCAUCAUAAUUAUACGCUAAACCAUUUGUUCACCUAAUAGAUUUUAAUGUUUUUUAGGUAAGGACUCUCGUGCGUAUGCCUAUUGAGGAGGUAGAAUUAGCUUCAAAGAACAAGUCACUAAGUACCUAGACUUGCGUUUUUCCUUAUUAGACCUGUAGGAUAUGUAGUCCAUUUCCUUCAUGUAUUUUAGAUGUUUUCUUUAAUUUGUAUGUCUCAUCUUCUCAAUCUUUGCUUCCACUAUUAAUUUAUUUUGUUGUUAUUGUUUUAUCAAAAUCAUUUAGUUGUAUGUAUUUUUCUUAUACUAAAUAUUUAUAUGUUGAAACAAUGAUUUCUUUUUAGAUUUUGAUGCAAAAUGGACUCACAGUCUCUUAGUGGGCCCUUUUUGGGUGGGUCUUUACAAAUUAAGUUUCUAAUAAUAUUAUUAAUAACAGUUUUCUCUUCACAAAUUACUUAGUAAUUUUCUCUUAAUGAUGUAGACAUGGUCUUCCCCUAUGCAAAUUUAGAUCCAAAGCAAAUAGUAUUUAUACUUAAAAAAUAAGUUGGUUUGCUUUGUUAUCAAACUAAUAAAAAGGCUACCACAUGAAUAUAUUCAUAUUAUCACAAAUAUUAGCCUUGCCAAUAUAUUUGAGUUUUUUUCCUCUUUUCCAGCAUAUAAGUGCCAUAAACUUGGAUGCAUGAGCAAAGUUUGGUAAAACACACGGAUGAAUGCCAAGCAAAGACGAUGAAGAUGGAAAUACAGCAACAACCAGCAAGCAUAUAUGCGUAUAUGCAUCAUUCAACUAGUUCCUUUUUAUUUCCAUAUAUAUCACAAAGUGUAAAAGUCCACCAGGGUACAAAAUGUGAAUAGAGAAAAAGAAUACAAUAAUGACAUACAAUUUUUUGUGUUAUUAUUAUUUUUCCUUAAUGUAUUUAUCAUGAUGACUGACUCAUGCCCAAUUGGUGUCUCAGCUGAUUUGUGUUCAGCUGGUGCUCCUUGAUUGAGGAAGUGAUCAACAAAAUUUAUACCUAUAACACCAUACACUAGGGUAGCAAAUACAAAGCUACUAUAGUAUAGUGGCUCUAGGAUCGUUCACUGGGAAUGAUGAACAAGCAAUCAAGGAUACCAAUUCCAAGUGAAUUGGUCUUGUUUCAUUUCACGGUUAGCUUAAGAAGUAAAACACAAAGUUUGAUUGGUAAAGGUUUAGACUUAAACUAACUAACUUAACAGAAGUUUGGAAUAAUUUAGGAAGAAAAGCAUUCCUUGGAGAUUUAGGUUCACUGGGGUGGUUCCUCAUGCAAAAGACAUAGCUCCGGUCAGAUGGUUCAUUUCCUCGCAUUAGAGAUUCAACUUAGAGUCAAUUCUCUAACCGGUGAUGUACAGAGACUCCUUCAAUUAGAUUUCACUUUAAUUCUCUCACUGAUGCAACUUGCAAUGGUUCAUGCCUCUCACGAGCACUUACCAUUCAAGGUGAUCUUUAACCUUGGAUUUCCCUUCACAAACUCGCAAGAGAUAACUAAUGGAUGUCUCCUAGGAGUCCAAAAGCUUACCAAGUGUUGGUAAUUCUAGAAAAUCCUACCCUGAAGUCACCUACCAGAGGCUCGCAAGGGGUAAACUAGUGCAUUUCCACGGUUGGAAAUCACUUGCCUUACCAAGUGUUGGCCUAGGUGACUCCAAAGUGUUUUAAGUUAACUAAAAACAUUGAAAUCACUAAAGGAUUUCACUUCCUUUUCAUUACUAGCUAAAACCACAAAGCUUUGCAUUCUUGCACUUGGAACCUUCCCCGGCAAUCUUAGCUCCAAGGAAUUGGAGGUUUAGUUACUCAUUCUCUGGGGAAAACUCCUCAGAGAAUUCAUAACUUAGAAAUAAAAUGAAAAUACAAAGUGAGAAGGUAAGGCAGUAGAAAGAAAAGACUUUACUUGCUUACCAAAUGGUUACAGAAGGAACUCCUCCCUGAGAACAGGCUCCCGAGAGGUAUAUAUAUCAAAACAAUAUAAAAUUAAUUGUUACCAAGAUAUUUGGUCUUUUUACUAACUUAAAAACUAAGGAAUCAUGUAAUUGGUGGUUUACAAGGAGUAUUUUGGGAUUUAGACAACAAAAAUCUAAUGGAAAAUAUCUCCCAAUGUCGGUAGCAAGCUUCGGGAGGCUUCAGGAGCCAUUUCGUAGGAGAAAAGUGGUGUCUGCGAAAUUUCGCAGACACCCAAGAGGGCUGCGAAAUUAUUUCGCAACACUGAGCUAUCUUCACCAGGCUGCAAAGUUGGCUUCCAUCUUGAGGUUUCCAGCUCCCUUCUCGCGGCAUGGUUCAUGCAUCGUCAGAAGGAGAAACAUCUUACUGUACAAAAGUGCUGCGAAAUUCUCGCAACAAAAGGCUGAUUCCGCAACACUUUAGAGUGACUGGCUUGUAAUGGCUGCAACUUCUUCGUUUCAACUCCGAAUCGCGCACCGUUUGAAGCAUUGGAUUGUUGACUUCCUAAGCUUUGAAAUGGUAUAUAGCUUGCAUCAUUUGGACUUCAGAAAGUGCUCCAAAAGUGGCUGCUACGACUGUCAUCAAGAAUAGGCUUUAUGGCAGAUUCUCUUUGCUUUUUCUCCUUGCAAUCCGGAUUCACUCUUGGCAAUUGAAUUCUAAGCUUUGCCCAAGAUUCCUCAUAGCUCUCCUCAUUCUUGACUUGCUUUGGUGAUCAAAAUACUAACAAAAACACCAAAACUUACACAAAGUGAUCAAAAUUGCUUUAAAGGAUCCUUAACAUGUCAAUUGAGUUAAAAGGCCUAAACUACUACUCAAAAGUGUUAAAAAGGAUUAAUUAAAGGCUAUCAAAUAGCACUUUUUGAGUAGUAAUCAAUGACUAUGUACAAAAACAACAAAUGCAGGGCCUACAUAUUAUGUACUCAGGACUCGUAAGAUUUUCUGAUGUUGGGUGAUGACUAUGCACAUUAGAGGCUGGAGCUUCAUUUAUGUUCAGUAGCCAUAACAACAGGAGUGCUGACAUGCGAACCUGCUCUAGGGGGAGGCAUGGCAUGACCCGCAAACUUCAUUCCAUCAGUACAAGGUGAGCCUUUUUCGGGGAUACGGCCGCAUGAACUUGGUCCUGAAGGAGGGACAGGUCCUGAAAGCAUAGAUUUCAAAGGAACAAUCCUUAUCUUCAUCCACUCUUCUUUCUCUCCAUCAGGAACCCUACUCGCACUGCCGGGUUGGACACUCAGAAUAAAAACCACUGCUGUGACAGCUAAAACAAUGUUUAGAAAUCUCAUGAUGAUUUUGGUUGGGUUAAGCAAACAUGAGAUGAUCAGAUAGAACAAUAUUUUUAUGUGGGCAAUAUGCAUAUUGACGGAGGAGAACAAUCACCGGUUAUUUAUACGAAUGCAGCCAGGCAUGACUAGAGUUCUUGCUAGUUUGGCUUAGUUGAAGGGGUUUUUUUUUACUCUUAGACUAAGGUGGUAUUUGUUUUUUGGCCGAAUAAAAAAAAUCAAAAUAUUUAGUUUUUUCUAUUCAACUAAAAAUAAAAUGUUAACAUCAUUUAACAUAACUAAAUUAAACCUAUUGAUAACAAGUUCAUUUUAAUUAUAUUGAAUGAUGUCAACAGAUUACUUUUAACUGAAUAGAAAAAAUCAAAUAUUUUAAUUUUUUCUAUUCAGCCAAAAAACAAACACCACCUAAUAGAAUUUAAUUUACUCUAAGAGAUUAGAAAUUGAAUAGGUCAUAAAGGAAGAAAAUACCUAGAAUUACCCAAAUGACUAGUUUUCUUGUGUAGUUAAUUUAAUUCCACAUAUGAGUGCAUCUUAAAUCAAUUACAAAGAAAAUAUAUGAUAAUAUGAAUGCAUCUUAAAUCAAUUAGAAAGAAAAUAUAUGAUAAUUUCUCCAAGCUUUUUUGAAAAUAGAUACGAGAAAUUUAUCCAUUCCCAUUAACUUUAAUUAAUAUUAAAAUAUGUAAUUUAGCUUGGUUAAAUAUCAUUAGUUAUCAUUUCCGAGAAAAAGUUAGAUAAUUAUCAUUUUGGAGAGGAGGUUCCAUUGUAUAAUUACAUUUUUCUUCACCAACUUAAGCAUAAAUGGCUUUCCUGUACCAUAUGAAUUGCAGGAGGGGCUGCUAAAACUUAUUUCAUCAAAAAUCAUUGCCGAAUUGUUAGCGUUAAUCUAUAGCAAAAUUAAGUAUUAAUUCAAAAUUUUCUCACAGUUGUAAAGCACUCAAUGGUAGAAAUAAGGGUAGAGACAAAUCUAGGUAGGUAUGGUCUAUGAUGACUUUUGUCUUAUAUGAUACGUACCAUUGACUUUUGCCUUAUAAAUCAAGUUGUGGUAGGAACACGUUUGCUUGACUUGCGGCAUGAAUGUUUGGGGCUUUUAGACGAUAUAAUUCUAUCAGAUUCAAGUCGUUGAACAUAACUCUACUAACACGCAUCAGCUUUUCCACCGUCCAUGUUGACAUAGUUUAACGCACAUGUACCAACCCUCUUUAUCGUGACUUUACCCAUGUUGACAUAGUUUAACGCAUGCUCAAAUUAGUAACUUAGGAUGAAAUUUAAGGCUUAAAGCUAUAUUACCUUGAUAAAUAUGGUUAAUAUGGUUAAUUUGACCCAUUAUCCAACCGACUUGAGUUUUUAAAUCAAAACGGUAAUUUAACAAUUACACUAUUCGUGUACCAUUAAUUGGAAGGCUCUUCAAAUCCCCUUCAUAAAAUCGAGAAAUUAGUGAUUUAUCAAGAUUUUACAAAAAAAAUAAUAAUAAUCUAAUAUUUUUUUAAAAAAAUAUAAUAAUUGAAAAAUUAUUUUCAAAUCUAUAAUAAAAAAUUAUCUUUUGAAAAAACAAUUACAAAUUUUGAAAUUAUCUUCUAAAAAUAUAUUUUUAAAUAAAUAACUUAAUUUAGUCAUAAACAUAUGAGGUUGUGAAACCAAUCAUAUUGAUUUAAUUAAAACCCAGUUAUUAAAUAAAUUGUUAGAUGUAUUACCGAUUUAAUAAUUAUAUCAUAUUUUGAUCCAUAUUUUUAACUUGUGUGAUGUUAUCCAUGCUUUUAACUCGAUUUUCAUUGGUGUCAUGUUUAGAUUAACUUAUUCAAUAGAAUGCUUGAAUUUUGAAAUUAAUAACAUGAAUGUAUCCCAUCAGCACAAAUUACAUAUAUUAGACAAUUGUUUUUAUUACGAUGUUACCAUAAAUCAUAUAUAAUUCACAAAGUUUUGAAACUUCAAUCCAUUCUUCAUAUAUAUAUAUAUAUAUAUAUAUAUAUAUAUAAUAUAACUUUAUAUUCUUAAAAUGAUCAGGUUUAGGUUUUUUUUUUUCAUUUUUUUCCAAAUUAAUAUUUUAUUUUAAGUAAAUUUCUUUUUCCUUUACAAUUUCCUUUUCUAACUUCUUAUAUCUCAAACUACUAUAUUAUUUUUAGUCACCAAUGAACUAAAUUCCUUCUUUUACAAGUUUCUUUUUCACUUCUUUUUAUGUAUUAAUUUUGUGAAAUCAAGGUUUGGCUAAUCUCGAUUUUGAUGAUAACAUAACAAAAUUUAGAACUAAUUAUUAUAUUUCAAGUGUAAUUAGGCAAAAUGAUUUACAAAGUGACAAUCACAAAGACGAAUCAAAUCAAAGAAAAAUAAUGAAGAAAAAAAGACAUCAAAGAGAGGUAUUUUUCAAGACCCAAGCUUCAUAAGAUCUCUUUGUAAAGUUGUUGAUGCACUAGCAUUUUCAAACAUUACAUUCUUUACUUAUGCACCAAAAUCAUCCAAGAGUUAUUUUAUUUUAAAUUUUUAAAAAUUUGAUGAUUUCAUGUUUUCAAUUAAAAUCUUGUGUCAAAUGUUUUCCAAACUUGUUUAAAAUGUUUUAAGUUGAAAAAGUUAGUUGUUGAGCCAAAAACGGCUCAACUAGUUGAACCGGAUGAUUAGUGCACCAUUCAAUCCUAAAUUUCUUGUAUCAUUUGAGUUUAAAGUUUUGUAUUAGGAUUUAAUGAAAUCAUUUAUAAAUCUUUGAGAAGAAAAGUCUAAGUGUAAAGUAUCACUUAGGGAUUCUCAAGUGAGGAGUAUCACUUGAGGGGUUGUUCAAGAUAGGGGUAUCUCUUGAGAAGUGUAAAGAGUGUUUGAAGCCAAAAGUCCAAGAUGGUGGAUUAGAACCAUAAUCCAAUUGUAUUGCUUGAAGGAUUAGUUUGAAAACUUUCAAAUAGUGGAACCUCAAGCUUGAUAUUGAAGCUAAAAGAGAGUGGAUGUAGGUCAGGAUACAUCGAAUCACUAUAAAAUCUUGUAUUUGUAUUCUCUCUUCUCUGCUCUAUUAAUUUAUAUGAAGUUAUCUUUAUAUUGUUUUAUUAUAUACUUGCAUAUAAUUGUUUCUUACAUUCACAUAGUUUGAAUUUCAUCACUCUUUUCACCCCCCCUCCCCCCCGGGGUGAUUACCUUAGAUUGAAUUAGCCUAAUUUUUCUAACAAAUUUUAUCAUCCUCUAUCUUCAGCAAUCUAACUUAUCUAUAACAGAAGUAAAGAAAAAAUUAAUGAUUCGCACCAUCUCCAGCACUGAAUAUUAUUUGAAGAUUUUAUCAUAUUAUAUUUCAUAAAUCCUUGAGAAAAACAUUUGUUCUCCUUUGAAUAAAUGGUAGUAAAGAGACCAAAAUUUAAGUUGAAGACAAGAGAAUGAAUCAUUACUGACGAUAAGGUUUUCAAAGUUUUGGCAAAUGUCAAACCAUACGAUUUGAAUCUUGAUAACCAACCUCAAAGCUUAACGUUGAAGCAUUUGAAUUGGGUCUGAAUCAACUUUUCAACCUUAUAGAAGUAAAGUUUUCCAUAACAAUGGAAAACAGGGAAUGUUUGUUGUUGAACUAGAAGUCAAACCAGUACGCAUGAGAGCAGGUUCAUGGGAAGCUGCCCAAAAAUUAUGUACUCCAGAAGAAUUUUUGUUCCUCUUCCACACUGUUGAACCUCAUUUUCGGUCUUAUUAACUGUGGGGUAAUUGAAAUUGAUCAGAAAAAUAGGCGAGGGAAGGAAAAAUAAAUUUAAACCUUAAAUGACUCUCUCUCUCUCUCUCUCUCUCUCUCUCUCUCUCUCUCUAUCUAUCUAUCUAAUUAACGUGCAAGUAAAUACAUUAUGACUAUCCUGGACAAAUACAGGGAAAAUAAUUCAAAGGGUUGACUAACAGGGAAAAUAAUUCAAAGGGUUGACUCUCUCUCUCUCUCUAUAAUAUAGGAAUUAAUACAUUUUUUUUUCCACAAAACAUCUCUCAUAAUUUUUGAGAAAUAUAUUAAUGUACUAAUAUUUCUUCAUUUUAGUUCCUUCACUGUUAUUUUUUAUAUUCGAAGAGACUAUGAAAAGAAAAUUGUAUCCUCUCCUUCAGAUGCAAUGGCAAAUCUCAAAAUCUUCCUACAAAUUAAAUUGAAAAUUAAAUUUUUAUUAAUGACAUAUGAAGACUACGUAGUUCUUGUAAUAGCAAACUUGGGUAAUAACUCAAAUUGCCGGCAUGCGCCCUGAAUGUCAAAUUAAGAUGGUUGAUGAGGAUGGUAAAGCAGCAACUACCAGCAAAGAUGAUUUCCAACUUAUUCAUUUAUUCUCAAUUUGUCUUAGUGAAAAAACCUUCAGAAGGGUACGUACGUACCACAUGUGAACAAUAAUCAAAAUUACAAAAUACGUAAAAUUGCCAGUAUGUUCUUCAUUAUGUAAACAAACACACAAACUUUAUCACAAGAAUGACAACAUACACGACCCAAUGAAAAGAAUUUCUGAUUUUGGGGGCUCCCAUGGUCGAGCUUCUUCUAUAUAUAUGUUCACUGUCCAGUAGCCAUGACGAACGGAGGGGGAGGCUUGGCAUGGCCUGCAAACUUCAUUCCGUUAUGGCAAGGUGGGGCGCCCUUUUCCGGGAUAUGGCUGCAUGAACUGCUUCCAGAAGGAGGCACAGGACCUGAACUCAGAGAUUGUAAAGGAACAAAUCUUAUCUUGAUCCACUCUUCUUUCUCUCCAUCAAGAACCCUACCAGCACUGUGUGGUUGGACGCUCAGAACAAGAACAAGUGCGGUGACAGCUAAAGCAAUGUUGAGAAACCUCAUGAUCUUUGACGGGUUAAGCAAAGAGGAGAUGAUCAAAGCAAUAUUUUUGGAUGGACAAAUUAAUAUGC
rnacentral:lncRNA from 1 species